rnacentral:rRNA from 1 species
UACGUAGGCAGCGAGCGUUGUUCGGAGUUACUGGGCGUAAAGGGUGUGUAGGCGGUUUUCUAAGUUUGGUGUGAAAUCUCCCGGCUUAACCGGGAGGGUGCGCCGGAAAACUGGGAGACUAGAGUGCGGGAUGGGAGAGUAGAAUUCCUGGUGUAGCGGUGAAAUGCGUAGAUAUCAGGAGGAAUACCGGUGGUGUAGACGGCUCUCUGGACCGCAACUGACGCUGAGACACGAAAGCGUGGGUAGCAAACAGG